rnacentral:misc_RNA from 1 species
UCACCCCUCAAGCCCCGUGCUUGGUGUUGGACGGCUUGGUCGAGCUUCGCGCUCGACCCCUCCCAAAGACAAUGACGGCGGCCUGUGGCUCCCCCGGCACACUGAGCUUCUCACCGAGCACGUGUCGGAUCGCGGGCGUCCAGGUCCCGGUCGGCUUUUUCUUGCCCCUGUGCAGGGAAAAAUUAUUUUUACAA